CGCUGGCGGCGUGCCUAAUACAUGCAAGUCGAACGGCUUUUCUAUGGAAGCUUGCUUCCACUGAGAAGAUAGUGGCGAACGGGUGAGUAACACGUGGGUAACCUGCCCAUAAGAGGGGGAUAACAUCCGGAAACGGGUGCUAAUACCGCAUAGUUUUCUUGGUCGCAUGAUCGGGAAGGAAAGACGGCCUUUGUGCUGUCGCUUAUGGAUGGACCCGCGGCGUAUUAGUUAGUUGGUGAGGUAACGGCUCACCAAGACGAUGAUACGUAGCCGACCUGAGAGGGUGAUCGGCCACAUUGGGACUGAGACACGGCCCAAACUCCUACGGGAGGCAGCAGUAGGGAAUCUUCCGCAAUGGACGAAAGUCUGACGGAGCAACGCCGCGUGAGUGAAGAAAAGGUUUUCGGAUCGUAAAACUCUGUUGUCAGAGAAGAACAAGUUGGAGAGUAACUGCUCCAGCCUUGACGGUAUCUGACCAGAAAGCCACGGCUAACUACGUGCCAGCCGCCGC
rnacentral:rRNA from 1 species